UACGUAGGGAGCAAGCGUUGUCCGGAAUCAUUGGGCGUAAAGCGCGCGUAGGUGGCCCCAUAAGUCCUCUGUGAAAGUCAAAGGCUCAACCUUUGAAAGCCGGUGGAUACUGUGGGACUAGAGUACGGAAGAGGCGAGUGGAAUUCCCGGUGUAGCGGUGAAAUGCGCAGAUAUCAGGAGGAACACCAAUAGCGAAGGCAGCUCGCUGGGACGUUACUGACACUGAGGCGCGAAAGCGUGGGGAGCGAACAGG
rnacentral:rRNA from 1 species